AACAGCGUAGCAGAGGAGGGAAUGACUUGCCCAAGGCCACUGUUAAAAGCAAGAGAAAGUGAAAAAGCUGGUGUCGGAACCCAGGACUCUGGCUGCCCUUGAACCUCCAUGCUCCGAACCCCUCACCAGCCAUUAAGGGGGGCGUUGAUGGGCUUCGGACCUGGGCAUCAGGAAGCUUUGGCAGAGCUGCCCUGAGGAGAUGCUGGAAACGAAACAGCCUCCUCACAGGUCCCUCUGCGUUCCUUUUGCCUGGUCAGCACCAUCUCCACACAGCAGUCAGAGGGAAUCCACUCAAAAAAUGCAGACCCAAUCGUGACACUCUCCUGCUUAAACCUGCCGUGGCCCCCUGUCGCCCUUCGGAUAAAGACCCUAAUCACGACAAAACCUUUGAGAGCUAGUCUGUUUUUGUUUUAAUUUAAACAAUUACUUAUUUUUUUU
ensembl:lncRNA